ensembl:lncRNA
UUUUGGGAAAUGCAGUCCAGUUCCAGAAUGUAGAGGAAUUUAGUCUCACAAUCACAGACAACAAAUAUUAUCUGAAAGUCGGGUUAUUGUUGUUUAUCAGCACAAUACAAAAAGAUUAAUGUUAGAAAUAUUCCAGUUAAGACUCUAGAAUAUCAUGAUUUAUGUAAAUUUACCUCAAUAAUAUGAAUGUUCAGGUUAAGAUUGUGCAGUGAUAUUUAUUAUGCAAGUUUAGCUGAUUAAAGUUUAUGACUGCACUAAAAUAUUAUUUAAAUUGACAUCAUUAUUAUAAUAUUUAGGGUCAGACCCUACAGUAUUGAGGUUAAAAAAUCAAAUAUUCUAUAAAAUGUAAAUACACUGAACUCAUUUGGAUAUAUUUAAGUGAGACUCUACAGCAUUAUUUGACACAAAUCUAUCUAAAUCAAAAUUUUAAUAAUUUUCACGCCAAACAUUUACUGGACUGAUUUAAAUAUUAAAAUCACUCCUUUCUAAUCCUCUGCUGUACGUUCAAACCUGAGGCCUGAAAUAGAAACACACAAGUAUCUGAUUGAAGGAACUUCUGCAGAGUCCUGGUUCCAGAACAUGAUGAUAGAAUUAUAGACAAACUUUAACAAAAGCUGCCUCAGAGUUUACAGGUUUUUAUGUUGGAUUUCUUCAGUAAUUUAAUGAGCGUAAUCAGCAAUAAUCAAGUGUUCAUUUGAUGAACUUCAUUUCCUAAAACAUCCAGAAUAGGAGCUCAUAUCUUUGGCAGCUGUAAAGUUUCUGCUCCUUCAAAGUUCACAACACAAUGAAUGAAUUCCUAAAACACUCUCAACGCUGGAGAGCGUUUGUGAUGCUGAAGCAGUGACCAGUUUUUCUGUUUCUUCUCUGGAGAUGCACAAUGAGGGACGUCUGCAGAGACUGAGAAAGAGUCUCACCACAUCCUGACAUGAGGAAAAAGACUUUAUUGAAGACUACAAUGAGAAAAACUAUCAGACAGCAGACGGCUGCAUUCAAGGCUACAGGAGGAGCCCUACGAGGAUGAGCCGGUCCACCUGAUGGCGGCCAGUCGCUGCGGUUCAAAGCCAACACCGACUACAUGGACUUCUACUGGACCACACGGAGGCCUUCAAACCGGACCAACAAGUUCAGCGACUCCCCGACUCGUGGGUCUGAGGACGCUGCCGAGCCUCGGCUCAGCCGGCCGCCUGUCUGUGGGUGUUUGAGUGCUG